rnacentral:rRNA from 1 species
UACGGGGGGGGUAAGCGUUGUUCGGAAUUACUGGGCGUAAAGCGCACGUAGGCGGCUUUGUAAGUUAGAGGUGAAAGCCCGGGGCUCAACUCCGGAACUGCCUUUAAGACUGCAUCGCUUGAAUCCAGGAGAGGUGAGUGGAAUUCCGAGUGUAGAGGUGAAAUUCGUAGAUAUUCACAAGAACACCAGUGGCGAAGGCGGCUCACUGGCCCGGUACUGACGCUGAGGUGCGAAAGCGUGGGGAGCAAACAGG